GGUACGUAGUACUACUACAACCAGUACCGUAGUACAUUUCAUCCAGUUAUGAGUUAUCUUCUUCAUUCUUCAUCCUUCUACCAAAAUUCCAGUCAGCAGUACACACAAGGGAAAGAGAAGAAGCUAGUACUUGGUAGUACACAUGGAGAAGAGGCAGUACAAUGUAUUUCUUGGUCCAGGAAUUGAAUUUGGAUAUAGUACAUGUUUGUACUUUGUUACUACACUUGGCUAAUCUGGUAUAUAUACAAAGAUGAGCAAGGAACAGAUGAUACCCACAAUUAAGUUAGAUCAAUCAGGCUUGACAUAAGCAAAGCAGAUCGGCAAUUAGCUAGCAGCGGAUCGGUGAGUACCAUUUUUGGAGCAGCUGAUUCCGAUGAGAUGAGACUAACAGCACAUGGAUCUGGAAAAGUAUCAUUGAUUCAUUGGACGAUGAAGAAGGGUCAAAUUUCCAACCUCAAUCGUCUGUGUUAAAAGGGAUCUUUGGGAAUUGGUCAAGAUUUAUCAGGAUUUCAUGGCCUGGCUUACAUGUAGCAAACAGUCGAAGAUGCUUAAGAUUCAAGGGUAGGCACUGUAAAAUAUACCUUUCUGUCAACUCAGUAGUUUCUUCUAUGUGCUUGUGAACUCCACACCUAUCAGGCUAUGUUCUUUUGUAAUAUAUACUUUGAUAUUUAAAUGCAUUCGGAGAACAGUAUUAUUCAGAAAGCGAUAUGUGUGCUGACCAAAACCAAAUGUAAUAUUCGACAUUGAGCUCUGUUCUCAGGCAUCUUAUUUUUUCGAAAUCUCA